CACGUAGGCGGCUUGGUAAGUCAGAUGUGAAAGCCCGGGGCUUAACCCCGGAAGUGCAUUUGAUACUGUCAGGCUUGAGUAUGGGAGAGGGAAGUGGAAUUCCUGGUGUAGAGGUGAAAUUCGUAGAUAUCAGGAGGAACACCAGUGGCGAAGGCGACUUCCUGGACCAAUACUGACGCUGAGGCGCGAAGGCGUGGGGAGCAAACAGGAUUAGAUACCCUGGUAGUC
rnacentral:rRNA from 1 species